rnacentral:rRNA from 1 species
AUUGAACGCUGGCGGAAUGCUUUACACAUGCAAGUCGAACGGCAGCACGGGGCAACCUGGUGGCGAGUGGCGAACGGGUGAGUAAUACAUCGGAACGUGCCCAAUCGUGGGGGAUAACGUAGCGAAAGUUACGCUAAUACCGCAUACGAUCUACGGAUGAAAGCGGGGGAUCGCAAGACCUCGCGCGAAUGGAGCGGCCGAUGUCAGAUUAGGUAGUUGGUGGGGUAAAGGCUCACCAAGCCAAUGAUCUGUAGCUGGUCUGAGAGGACGACCAGCCACACUGGAACUGAGACACGGUCCAGACUCCUACGGGAGGCAGCAGUGGGGAAUUUUGGACAAUGGGCGCAAGCCUGAUCCAGCCAUUCCGCGUGCAGGAUGAAGGCCUUCGGGUUGUAAACUGCUUUUGUACGGAACGAAACGGUCUGCCCUAAUACGGCGGGCUAAUGACGGUACCGUAAGAAUAAGCACCGGCUAACUACGUGCCAGCAGCCGCGGUAA